GUUGGUUCAUGGAUUGUGCAGGGCGGCUUACAGAGUUACCCUACAAUUAUUGUGAAUUUGUAUUUGAUUUUUAAUUAGCCUGGUAAAAGGGGAUUUAAAAAAAUUUUUAUACUUUCAUAAUUAAUAGUCUGACACAUUACCUUUAAUAACUGGAGAAUAUAUCUCACCACUGUGUUUUUCCCAUCUCCUCUCUUCUUCAUUCCUUUCUCGAGGAUGCAGAGAGAGAGAGGGGCUGUCGCCAGCUUCAUUCACUAUGUUUCGAAAAGAUGUUUUCUAUCGACGUUCUCGAAUGGAUUUCGCUUGGUUUCCCAAAGUUAAGUACUGGGUAGCUGCAGGAACAGGGUAGGACAGCCCAUACAGAGUACUGGGUAGCUGCAUGAACAGGGUUGGGAGCUCCCAUGGCAUACAGAGUACUGGGUAGCUUAACAGGGUAGGAGAGCCCAUGGUAUACAGAGACUGGGUAGGAACAGGGUAGGAGACCCAUACAGAGUACUGGGUAGCUGCAGGAACAAGGUGGGAGAGCCCAGGGCAUACAGAGUACUGGGUAGCUGCAGGAACAGGGUAGGUGAGCCCACGGCAUACAGAGUACUGGGUAGCUGCAGGAACAGGGUAGGAGAGCCCAUGGCAUACAGAGUACUGGGUAGCUGCAGGAACAGGGUAGGAGAGCCCAUGGCAUACAGAGUACUGGGUAGCUACAGGAACAGGGUAGGAGAGCCCAUGGCAUACAGAGUACUGGGUAGCUGCAGGAACAGGGUAGGAGAGCCCAUACAGAGUACUGGGUAGCUGCAGGAACAGGGUAGGACAGCCCAUACAGAGUACUGGGUAGCUGCAGGAACAGGGUAGGACAGCCCAUACAGAGUACUGGGUAGCUGCAGGAACAGGGUAGGAGAGCCCAUACAGAGUACUGGGUAGAUGAACAGGGUAGGAGAGCCCACUGCAUAUAGAGUACUGGGUAGCUGCAGGAACAGGGUAGGAGAGCCCAUACAGAGUACUGGGUAGCUACAGGAACAAGGUAGGAGAGCACAUGGCAUACAGAGUACUGGGUAGCUACAGGAACAGGGUAGGAGAGCCCAUGGCAUACAGAGUACUGGGUAGCUGCAGGAACAGGGUAGGACAGCCCAUACAGAGUACUGGGUAGCUGCAG
rnacentral:lncRNA from 1 species